CUUCGGAUUCCACCUCAACAUUUUAUUUUCUUUUCUUUUAAUUGGUAAUUAAUUUGGAGUUGUUUCAUAUGUUUAAUUUUUGUUUUGGUGGAAACUGGAAUUUGGAAAGGAUAAAAUUAGGAAAGGGGUUGAGGGAAAUUGGGGAAAAUUCUUUAAUUUUAGGGGUUUAGCAAUUUAUCAAUGUUGAAUUUCAUCAAUCAAGCUGGAAUGCUGAUUAGCUGCAUAUAUCAUACACCCUGUAGUUUAAGAGCUAAGAUGUAAAUUGUUAAAAUUUUAGCUGUUUGGGGAAGCAUAUUUUGUAGAUGGCAAAAGAGGGUAAAGUUUGGCAAUAUGAUAUCAUGGGAUGAAAUGAUGAAUCACAAUCGAGGCGAAGAUAAGAAAGAAAUAUACAAGAAUUCCAGUCUGAAUCUUCUAAAAAUUUCUUGGUGCUUGAUGUUUUCUUCUUAUGAAGAGAUUGAGGUUUUUUUUGGGGUUCUUUUUGCACUUGUCUCACCUCUUAUAUUUUCUUUUCCCUUGCAAAAUUAUCCUUACAUUCAAAAUAGCAAAAUUUAAAUCUUAUAAAUAUGUUAACUUGGAAUUAAGGCUGUUCUGCCUAUGAUGGAAGCUCCAAAGUUUUUAAAAAGAUAAAAAAAAAAAAAGUACUUUUUAUUGGAAUCUGCAUAAUUAUGGGUACUAGUUGUCAGAAUUAUUCCUCCUGCUUCAGUAUAGUCAAAAGAAAUCGAAUCUUGCAAAACAUAUUCUGAAAUUUAACUCCAAUUAUUCCCCCUGCUUCAGUCUAGUCAAAAGAAAUUGAUUCUCGCAAAGCAUAUCGUGAAAUUUAAGUUGACUCCUUUUUCUGACAAUAGGCUUAUCUUUGAUUAAAGUCAUGCUAGGAGAAUAAAUUGCUUAAGUUCAAACAUUGUAUCUGUACUGAAAACUUACUAUUUCUUUUCCCCUUAUUUCUAAAUCUCUGUUUAUAAUAGAAGCAUGUUCUUUAUUCUAUCAUUAAUAUUUCUUUUCCAUUUAGUGUUUUUCAAAAUCAAUGUUUAUCCUGGAAGCUAUUGGGUAGUAUGCAGAGAGAGGCUAAAGUUUAUACUGGAAAAGUUAUGUGAAUUAUCUAUUCUAGUGGUUUGUGUUCCAAAUGGCCAAAUGGGAAUGUGGAAUCUGAAAUAGUAAGCAGAAGAAUACCUCGGGAGCUCUUUAUGUCACUGAAAUAUUUCUCGAGGUUUUAAAAAAAAAUUAUGAAGAGUGCAAUAUGAUACUCCGUAUGUUCUUUAUGUGAUUUAGAAUUUGGGAAAGAUGAGAAGCACAUAUAACUGAAUUGAGACUGUAAAAAUGGUUGCGUUGCAAGGUGAGGAUGAAUAGAAUGUGGAAAGCAUACAAAGAUAAGAUAAUAAGAUGCUUUGGGCUUAUUGAAAAUAGUCUAGUCAGAACCAACUUGGUUGGCGUGAGUGGUCGUGCACUCUUGACCGUUAAGAGAGGUCGGGAAUUCGAACCCCCUCUCGUAUGGAAAAAUUAAUCUGGCCAGCACAUUGCCCCUUAAUUGGGCCGGCUCGGUGUGAACGGGGUACGGGUUUAAAAGUGCCUCCUACAAUUAGGGCCUGCUGGACACCUCGUGGUCUGACCAAAAAA